rnacentral:rRNA from 1 species
UGUUCCUGACGCUGAAGGCGAAAGCUAGGGGAGCGAACGGGAUUAGAUACCCCGGUAGUCCUAGCUGUAAACGAUGGAUGCUGGGUGUGGGGGGUGUAAAUUCCCUCUGUGCCGAAGCAUACGCGUUAAGCAUCCCGCCUGGGGACUACGGCCGCAAGGCUAAAACUCAAACGAAUUGACGGGGGCCCGCACAAGCAGCGGAGCGUGUGGUUUAAUUCGAUGCUACACGAAGAACCUUACCUGGGUUUGACAUGCACGUGGUAGGGAACCGAAAGGGGACCGACCUUCGGGAGCGUGCACAGGUGCUGCAUGGCUGUCGUCAGCUCGUGCCGUGAGGUGUCGGGUUAAGUCCCGUAACGAGCGCAACCCUUGCCCUUAGUUACAAGUGUCUAAGGGGACUGCCCGGGACAACUGGGAGGAAGGUGGGGAUGACGUCAAGUCAGCAUGGCCUUUAUAUCCAGGGCUACACACACGCUACAAUGGCCGGUACAAUAGGUUGCGAAGUCG